rnacentral:rRNA from 2 species
GGGAUGGACAUACCUCUGGUGUACCAGUUGUCGUGCCAACGGCAUAGCUGGGUAGCUAUGUAUGGACGGGAUAAGUGCUGAAAGCAUCUAAGCAUGAAGCCCCCCUCAAGAUGAGAUUUCCCAACUUCGGUUAUAAGAUCCCUCGAAGAUGACGAGGUUAAUAGGUUCGAGGUGGAAGCGUGGUGACACGUGGAGCUGACGAAUACUAAUCGAUCGAAGACUUAAUCAA